GACAGAUAUGGCAUUCACAACCCAUCUGACCACAGAGUUGGCUCCAGGGUACCUGCAGUCCUUCCCCAAGAGUAGGCAUCAUCUGGUGACCCCGAGAGGGCCAGCUAAGUGGGACAGGAAACAGGAUAGGGAGGCACUGGAGAGCUGGGAGAUGGGGCACUAUCUGGCAGAAAACUGAGGAUCAAUCAUAAGGAUGAGGGGAGGGGAGAGGCAGCUGGGGGGGUGCAGAGUUAGGGUUUGGGGUAGGACUAAGCUGCUGCCUCUUCCUUCUGUGUCUGCACCCCCUGCCCAGCACCUGCCUGGAGGGGAGGCUGAACUGCACAGACCUGCCCUGCCCAGUGGACGGAGCCUGGGGCCCAUGGGGGCCAUGGUCUCCCUGCGACAUGUGCUUGGGGCAGUCCCACCGGAGCCGGGCGUGCAGCCGGCCCCCCACCCCUGAGGGAGGGAGGCCCUGCCCUGGGAACCACACGCAGAGUCGCCCUUGCCAGGAAAAUUCCACCCAGU
rnacentral:lncRNA from 1 species